rnacentral:rRNA from 1 species
UACAGAGGUCUCAAGCGUUGUUCGGAAUCACUGGGCGUAAAGGGUGCGUAGGCGGCACGGAAAGUCAGAGGUGAAAUCCCGGAGCUCAACUUCGGAAUUGCCUCCGAUACUCCCGUGCUUGAGGACUGGAGAGGAGUCUGGAAUUCACAGUGGAGCAGUGAAAUGCGUAGAUAUUGUGAGGAACAUUAGUGGCGAAGGCGAGACUCUGGACAGUUCCUGACGCUGAGGCACGAAGGCCAGGGGAGCAAACGGG